rnacentral:rRNA from 1 species
AGUGAACGCUGGCGGUAGGCCUAACACAUGCAAGUCGAACGGCAGCACAGUAAGAUCUUGCUCUUACGGGUGGCGAGUGGCGGACGGGUGAGGAAUACAUCGGAAUCUACUUUUUCGUGGGGGAUAACGUAGGGAAACUUACGCUAAUACCGCAUACGACCUACGGGUGAAAGCAGGGGAUCUUCGGACCUUGCGCGAUUGAAUGAGCCGAUGUCGGAUUAGCUAGUUGGCGGGGUAAAGGCCCACCAAGGCGACGAUCCGUAGCUGGUCUGAGAGGAUGAUCAGCCACACUGGAACUGAGAAACGGUCCAGACUCCUACGGGAGGCAGCAGUGGGGAAUAUUGGACAAUGGGCGCAAGCCUGAUCCAGCCAUACCGCGUGGGUGAAGAAGGCCUUCGGGUUGUAAAGCCCUUUUGUUGGGAAAGAAAAGCAGCAGGUUAAUACCCCGAUGUUCUGACGGUACCCAAAGAAUAAGCACCGGCUAACUUCGUG